rnacentral:ncRNA from 1 species
CAUAAUACAUGCAUACUGAACGCAUAUAUAUAUAUAUAUUAAAUUAAUUAAUAUAUAAUAAUAUAUGAGUAGUGUAGACGUGAGUAAAAUACAUAAUAGUGAACUAUCGUGUUUAGUUAAAUACUAAUAAAAGUAAAUUAUAUUUUAUAAAAUAUAAUUUAUAUAUAAAGAAUAUAUUAUAUAUAUAUAUUUGGUGAUAGUCAUAGUAUGUAUAACAUUAAGUAGUUGGUAAUAUAAUGAUUACCAAGCUGAAGAUGUUUAACUAACUAUGGAAGUAGUAAUGGUCACGUUGGUUUUGAGAUAAACCUAUAUCUAUUAGAUACAGCAGUAAGGAAUAUUUGUCAAUGAGUGAAAGCUUGAACGAGUAAUCUAGAACAAUGGUAUAUAUUAUAUAUAAACCUUUAAUUUAAUUUUUAUAAUUAAAUUAAUUAAUAAUAUGAUAUAUAGUAAAUAUAAAGUUGUUAAUUUAUAAUUAUAAUGAAUAUUAUAAAUGAGUAGUCCUAACAAAUCAGCGUGCCAGCAGUUGCGGUAACACGUAAAGGGCGAGCAAUACACAUAAUAGGCAUAAAGGGUCAGUAAUACGGAUUAAAAUAAAUAUAAUAUUUAUAUUAUAUUUAAAUAGUCUAGAAUAUAUUAUUAAAUUAUAUGAGGUAUAUGAGUAAUGGUUAAAUAUAGAAAUACAUAUAUUACAGCUAAUAUAAGAAAUUAUAUAAUUAUAAAUAUAUUGACGUUGAGUGACGAAACUUAGAGUAUCGAAUAGGAUUAGUUAACCUAUAAGUUCUAAGCGUAAACGAUGUAUACUGAUAUUUAUAUAUAAUAUAUAUAUAAAUAUUAAGCUAAUGCGUAAGUAUAUCGCCAGGGAAGUACUUAAUAAUCGAAGAAACCCAAAACAAUAGACAGUCUAAGAUAUAACAGUGGAUUAUGUAAUUUAAUUCGAUAAUACUCGAUAACCUUACCAUUAUUUGAAUAUUAAUAUAAAUUUAAUUAAUUUUAAAUUUAUUUAAUACAUGUGCUACAUAGCUGUUUUUAGCUCAUACUGUGAAGUAUUAGAUUGAGUUCAUUAAUGAGCGUGAUCUAACCUUUAUAUAAAUAUAAAGUGAUAAUAUUUCGAUGAAAUAUUUAUUAAGUUAGAGUAAGACAAGUCUUCAUGGCCACUAUAUAAUGGGCUAUAUACGUAAUACAAUAAUAUAUACAAAAUCUAAUUAUAUAGUAAUAUAACAUAAUAUUGAUAUAAUAUAUAUUAUAUAUCUUUAAUUAAUAAUUAAAGUAUUUAAUAUGGAUUAUUAACUGUAAUUCGUUAAUAUGAAAUAGGAAUUGUUAGUAAUGGUAAUUAUCAUAUUACCGUGAAUGUUUUACUUAGGUGUACUAAUCACUCAUCAUUCGGUUGAAGUUAAUAUUCACUAAUAUAUUAUAAUAUAUUUUAUAUUAUAUUUCUUAUUUAUAUAAUUAAUUAUAAUAUAAUUUUAUGUAAUACUAAGUAAUAUUAACAACAAUUGAAAAGUUGAAAUAAGUUGUGGUAGAGGAAUCUGCUGCGGGUAAUUAAUUGUUCUUCACUAUCCUACUUUUUAUUUAUAUAUUUUUUAUAUAUAAAUAUAUACUAUAAUUAUCAAUAAUAAUUAUCCCCACAUAAAGGGGGGUAUAUAAUUAAUUAAUUAAUUUAAUAUAAAUAUAUCAUAAGAUAUUAUAAUCUUAAUUAUAAUUAUAAGUAUAUUAUAAGAUAUAUAAUAUAUAUAUUACUCCAUAGGAACUCCUCCCCUCUGGAAAUUAUUAAUAUAUAAUAUAUAUAUUAAUAUAAUAUACUCCUCUAAUAAUAUUUACU